AUAAGCCGGAGGAAGGUGUGGACGACGUCAAGUCAUCAUGGCUUACGGGUUGGGCUACACACGUGCUACAAUGGCAUCUACAGUGAGUUAAUCUCCAAAAAGUGUCUCAGUUCGGAUUGGGGUCUGCAACUCGACCCCAUGAACUUGGAAUCGCUAGUAAUCGCGGAACAGCAUGCCGCGGUGAAUACGUUCCCGGGCCUU
rnacentral:rRNA from 1 species